UCCCUGAUAUUCGAUAUUCUGAGGCAGGACCCAUUUGUUACCAAUAAGACCUAAAAACAUACUCCAUAGGAUCUGCUGCAAAUAGGUGGUUUGUGUGUUUCUGCUUCCUUCAUGCACAUAUAGCAUCUGUUAGCCAUCUGAAACUUCCUUCUGGCAGGUUGUCUUGGGUCAGGCAAGUUCCAUGAAGUGCAAACCAGCUGAAGCAACUAAUCUUCGGGGGCAGCUUGAUCUUCCAUAUAAGCUUCCAAGGCCAGUGGCUGUAAUUGCAUUUUGUGGACCUAGAAGCUUGAAUGCUGCUAUAACUGAGAACUUCCCAUCCCCUUUUGCUCCCCAAUUGAGUUGGUCUAGUGUUUCACUGUUAAUUGCAACAUUGUGAAGUAGGCUGACCCAACUCCUCCAUUUCCCAAUCCGGUCCUCCACCGCAGACAGGGAACGACUUCUGCUGGGCUAAUAACAAUUAAAGAACUAAAUGACUUUCUUGAUCACUUGGCCUCAAGUGAAAACAGAGUGCGCACUGGAGUUUCUGAUGAGAAACGCAAUACCAUAGUAACUCCAUAAAAGCCCUAUUUCAGGCAAUAUUUCUGUUUUCUGUUGUACCUUUUAUUCUUGCACUGUUAAGAAUGUUUUUUUUUUAAACUUUUGGCGAUGUCUGAGUUGCAACAGAUAUAUUUAGGCAUCGGUGUGUUUCUAGUCAGUGGACUUCUGGUUGUCCACUGCAUUAAUCUUUGUGAGAAAUAAAGGAGAGAAGUAUUAUUGCAUCGUGUUGACUAUAUUAUUACACUGAGCCAUAUUUAUAGACG